rnacentral:rRNA from 1 species
GAUUAACGCUGGCGGCAUGCCUAAUACAUGCAAGUCGAACGGAAGCAGCAAUGCUUUAGUGGCGAACGGGUGAGUAACACGUAGGGAACCUACCUAUACGACGAGGAUAACUACUGGAAACGGUAGCUAAAACUGGAUAGGAUCAAUUGAGGCAUCUUGAUUGAUUUAAAGAUCCUUCGGGAUUACGUAGAGAUGGCCCUGCGGCGCAUUAGCUAGUUGGUGAGGUAACGGCCCACCAAGGCGACGAUGCGUAGCUGAGCUGAGAGGCUAAACAGCCACACUGGGACUGAGACACGGCCCAGACUCCUACGGGAGGCAGCAGUAGGGAAUUUUCGGCAAUGGGGGAAACCCUGACCGAGCAAUGCCGCGUGAACGAUGAAGGUCUUCGGAUUGUAAAGUUCUGUCCUAAGGGAAGAAGAAUGACGGUACCUUAGGAGGAAGCCCC